UCACUGCUUCUGGAGAUUUCAAACUCGUUAUAACUCGUUUAUGGAUUCAAAGCAAAUGGGUGUCAUUGAUUGGACAUGAGUAACGUUGUGUGUUCUGUAUCGUUGAUGCGUGUUGGUGUAAAUGCAGAGAUCCCAGCUGCCUCACUUCAGAGGGGCUCCAGGUCCAGAGAGCUCCUUUACAAGGUGGUAUUUUUAAACAGGGGGACUGCUCCUCCUCUUAUGGUGAAAUAACAGCCGGGAAAAAACACACGAAAUGUAGAUUCCACUCGGUCGAGAUCUGAAAAAGUAUAAUUAGGGAUUGGACUUGAAACCUUUUGGUUUAGAACACAAACAUGUGGUUUGUGGACCAUUAUGUGCAACAGAUGAAAUAAUGGAGACGAUGGAAAGUGAAAGGAUUCUGUAGCUGAACUUCUAAGAGUGUUUGCACAGAUUAAUCAAACUCUAUAAAGUGUUUUAUAGCUGUUGUGGUUUAUUGUAUUUCUGCAGCUUCAGUAGAAAUGUGGUGCUGGAGCCUCAACUCAAGGCCCCAUUGGUUCCGGAGCUUUCAGCUGCGACACGGUUGAAAGCUCCGGAAAGAGCCAGAAGCAUCUGGGAGGUGAUUACAACGUUUAUGUUACACAGAUAAAGACUUGAACGACCACACCGGACGCCAUCUCAUCAUCUCAGCCCCUCAUGCGUUUAAUGCUGCUUCCCAUUAUUUGUUAUGACUGGAGAUAUGACCCACAUAUUGUAGGUUGCUGCGCGUUUACGCUCCGAGUUCUUGCAGCUUCUUUAUGUCACUUGUUUUUACGGUGUUUGCGAGCGCAGCCGUAAAACGCUGCAUGUUCUUUAAUCCCUGUGAAUUUGAUUUUAACGACACUGAAGCUUCAGGGCUUCUGAGACGCAGGCUGCAUCGGGAAUAAGCAGCUCUGCACUUCACUCCCACUAAACUGAUCAGGGAACAGGUUUCAAUUCACUAAUUAAUAUCAAUUAACAGUUAUGUUCUGAUAGAGAAUAAUAUUUACCUGCAGUAAAUAGAUCGUCAUGUAUCUGCGUCUUUGCAAGUGAUGUUAGUUAAAGUUUAAAGUUUCAAAUUGUGACCCGAUUGUUUCGCUUACUGUUUGUUAAAAAUGUUAGAAAGGCAUUUUAGAAGGAGGAGCAGUGAAUCUAUAGAUAAACACACGAGCAGAGGAUGAGAUAUUUCAUGCUGCAGCAGAUCUGAUCAGUUUAGUGCUGAACGUCAGGCGUCUGAGGACUUUUGUAGGAGUAGGUGAAGUGAGGCCACACCCCGGGACAGAUGAGCACUAUUUUUACUCCUGUAAGGUGUUGGGUUUCUCCUACGAUGUGCGGAGAUGACAAGGAGGGGGUGGGGGAGGAGAAAAUGAUUGCUCCCACUCUUCACGGCUCUCCGGUACGGUCACCUUCCCCUCAGGUCACAAAGAAGCCGGGGCAGGGGGCUUUAAAAAGAGCGCAUUGUGUCGCUGCCUGGUUUUCAGGGUGUUACGUGAGCCUUAUUUGGAGUAGAGAGCGGAGCAGCUGAGCCAAGUGUCACAUGGAGGACGGAGGAUUUCAGACACUUCUCGGUGUCACGUGACGCGUCGAGUGUUUACUCGUUACAUAACCGAGCCACAGCAGUCUCACCAUGCAGGCUCUGUGAAGGUGCCUUGGAUCCCGGGUUUGCCGGUACAGAGCCAGGAAGGUGUAGGCGUUACCCGCUGCACCGUGACACAGCCCGUAGCCCUUCUUCAGCAAGCCCCAGCGCCAAACCACUUCUCCACACUGGAGGGCGUCGUACAGGAGCGUGUAGACGAUGCCCGGCGAGCCGUGGCACCAGUGCACCAGCAGGUCUCUGUCGUCGCCGAUGCAGGGGGGGUAGUUUCCAGACGCCAACUUGAGUCGGCAGACGUGGUCGACGCUUGGUUUCACCAGCCGGUGCACGUGUUCCACCGCAGAGACGAAGCCCGGCUGCGAGGGAGAGCGAGGGACAAGGGGAAUCAACACCGACUUUACAGCUGGAACAAUUACUUCUUUAAUCAAUCAACCAAUCGAUUAAUUCACUUUUUACGAUUUGGAGGAUUCGUCAGACAAAAUAAUGAAUUCUUCUCAUCGUGGGCUCUGGUAAGUUGUGAUGGUUACUGAUCAGAACCGUCUUUACCUGCAUGAGGAAGUAGUAGAUGCCCGCGAGUCCGUGUGCGGCGCCAACGUACUGCUCCUGGUACCACUCGUACAUCAGAGGGCUCUGGUUCUGGAACCUGAACUUCCUGCUGAGGUGCUCGCCCGACGCCAGCACGCUCUCGCUGAUCUGAGGAUUGGAAACAACACAUCUCAGAAACAUCUAAUCUGCGCGAGUGAGAGAAAUCAAUGAGGCAAAAAUUAGAGACAUCGGACAUCGAUAUUUUUUUUCUUUUCCAGACUCUUUGGUUCCUGUCGUUCAAACAACUUAAAUCCAGACCCUUCCUCCCAAGGAGCGCUCGCCUCAGACGGCUCGGACCCACCUGCUGGAUGUACUGCAGCGGGAUCCUGUCCUGCCCCAGCUGCUGGUUGAUGAAGACGAGGGAGUAGAGGAAGCCCAUUCGACCGUAGAGCAGCUCGUCGGGCAGCCCCCCCGAUCCCUGCACCACCGUCUGGUGAAACUGCAGCAGUCUGAGAAAAAAAAAGACACAGAACUCAAGAGUCAGAAGCAUCAUUUAAAAUAACUGUGUACAAUUAAUUAUUUAAAUAAAAUGAUCCUCAUCUGUA